rnacentral:rRNA from 1 species
ACGGGAGGCAGCAGUGAGGAAUAUUGGUCAAUGGGCGAGAGCCUGAACCAGCCAAGUAGCGUGAAGGAUGACUGCCCUAUGGGUUGUAAACUUCUUUUGUUUGGGAAUAAAGUGAGCCACGUGUGGCUUUUUGUAUGUACCUUACGAAUAAGCAUCGGCUAAUUCCGUGCCAGCAGCCGCGGUAAUACGGAAGAUGCGAGCGUUAUCCGGAUUUAUUGGGUUUAAAGGGAGCGUAGGCGGACUGGUAAGUCUGCGGUCAAAUGUCAGGGCCCAACCUUGGCAUGCCGUGGAUACUGUCGGUCUUGAAUGCACACAAGGAUGGUGGAAUUCGUCGUGUAGCGGUGAAAUGCUUAGAUAUGACGAAGAACUCCGAUUGCGAAGGCAGCCGUCUGGGGUGUGAUUGACGCUGAGGCUCGAAAGCGCGGGUAUCAAACAGGAUUAGAUACCCUGGUA